CGAGCCAAGUCGUGAGGCGGAGCUAAUCCCUUAAAGCCAUUCUCAGUUCGGAUUGUAGGCUGAAACUCGCCUACAUGAAGCUGGAGUUACUAGUAAUCGCAGAUCAGAAUGCUGCGGUGAAUGCGUUCCCGGGUCUUGUACACACCGCCCGUCACACCACGGAAGUUGGGGGCGCCCGAAGCCACUUAGCUAACCCUUUUGGGAAGCGAGUGUCGAAGGUGAAAUCAAUAACUGGGGUGAAGUCGUAACAAGGUAUC
rnacentral:rRNA from 1 species